rnacentral:rRNA from 1 species
GACGAACGCUGGCGGCGUGCUUAACACAUGCAAGUCGAACGGACAGGCCCUGCUUUUGUUGGGUGCUCGAGUGGCGAACGGGUGAGUAACACGUGAGUAUACUGUCCUUGUCUUUGGGAUAACUUUUGGAAACUGGGGCUCAUAUCGGAUAGGAGCUCCUGCUGCAUGGUGGGCGAUGGAAAGUUUCGGCGGUUGGGGCUGGAAUCGCGGGGUAUCCGCUUGUUGGGAGGGUAGUGGCUUACUCAGGUUGCGACGGGAAGCCGGCCUGAGAGGGUGAGCGGCCACACUGGAAGGGAGACACGGUCCAGACGGAUACGGGAGGCAGCAGUAGGGAAUCUGGCGCAAGGGGCGAAAGAUUGACGGAGCAACGCCGAGGGAGUGAUGAAGGUCUUCGGAUCGGAAAACUCUGUUAUUAGGGAAGAACCCAUGUGUACGUAACUAUGCACGUCGUGACGGUAAAUAAGUAGAAAGCCACGGCUAACUACGUG